rnacentral:rRNA from 1 species
GUCGAGCGCAGUCCUUCGGGACCGAGCGGCGGACGGGUUAGUAACGCGUGGGAAUAUACCCAGAUCUAAGGAAUAGCCUCGGGAAACUGAGAGUAAUACCUUAUACGCCCUUCGGGGGAAAGAUUUAUCGGAUUUGGAUUAGCCCGCGUUAGAUUAGAUAGUUGGUGGGGUAAUGGCCUACCAAGUCUACGAUCUAUAGCUGGUUUUAGAGGAUGAUCAGCAACACUGGGACUGAGACACGGCCCAGACUCCUACGGGAGGCAGCAGUGGGGAAUCUUAGACAAUGGGCGAAAGCCUGAUCUAGCCAUGCCGCGUGUGUGAUGAAGGCCCUAGGGUCGUAAAGCACUUUCGCCAGAGAUGAUAAUGACAGUAUCUGGUAAAGAAACCCCGGCUAACUCCGUGCCAGCAGCCGCGGUAAUACGGAGGGGGUUAGCGUUGUUCGGAAUUACUGGGCGUAAAGCGUACGUAGGCGGAUUAGUAAGUUAGGGGUGAAAUCCCGAGGCUCAACCUCGGAACUGCCUCUAAAACUGCUAGUCUUGAGUUCGAGAGAGGUGAGUGGAAUUCCGAGUGUAGAGGUGAAAUUCGUAGAUAUUCGGAGGAACACCAGUGGCGAAGGCGGCUC